rnacentral:rRNA from 1 species
UACGAAGGGGGCUAGCGUUGCUCGGAAUCACUGGGCGUAAAGGGCGCGUAGGCGGCCACCGCAAGUCGGUUGUGAAAUCUCUGGGCUUAACCCAGAAAGGUCAACCGAUACUGCGGGGCUAGAGUGCAGAAGGGGCAACUGGAAUUCUCGGUGUAGCGGUGAAAUGCGUAGAUAUCGAGAGGAACACCUGCGGCGAAGGCGGGUUGCUGGGCUGACACUGACGCUGAAGCGCGAAAGCUAGGGGAGCGAACGGG